rnacentral:rRNA from 1 species
UAGGUGGUUUGUCGCGUUGUUCGUGAAAUCUCACGGCUUAACUGUGAGCGUGCGGGCGAUACGGGCAGACUUGAGUACUGCAGGGGAGACUGGAAUUCCUGGUGUAGCGGUGGAAUGCGCAGAUAUCAGGAGGAACACCGGUGGCGAAGGCGGGUCUCUGGGCAGUAACUGACGCUGAGGAGCGAAAGCGUGGGGAGCGAACAGGAUUAGAUACCCUGGUAGUCCACGCCGUAAACGGUGGGUACUAGGUGUGGGUUUCCUUCCUUGGGAUCCGUGCCGUAGCUAACGCAUUAAGUACCCCGCCUGGGGAGUACGGCCGCAAGGCUAAAACUCAAAGAAAUUGACGGGGGCCCGCACAAGCGGCGGAGCAUGUGGAUUAAUUCGAUGCAACGCGAAGAACCUUACCUGGGUUCGACAUGCACAGGACGCCGGCAGAGAUGUCGGUUCCCUUGUGGCCUGUGUGCAGGUGGUGCAUGGCUGUCGUCAGCUCGUGUCGUGAGAUGUUGGGUUAAGUCCCGCAACGAGCGCAACCCUUGUCUCAUGUUGCCAGCGGGUAAUGCCGGGGACUCGUGAGAGACUGCCGGGGUCAACUCGGAGGAAGGUGGGGAUGACGUCAAGUCAUCAUGCCCCUUAUGUCCAGGGCUUCACACAUGCUACAAUGGCCGGUACAAAGGGCUGCGAUGCCGCGAGGUUAAGCGAAUCCUUUUAAAGCCGGUCUCAGUUCGGAUCGGGGUCUGCAACUCGACCCCGUGAAGUCGGAGUCGCUAGUAAUCGCAGAUCAGCAACGCU